rnacentral:misc_RNA from 1 species
AAUAAAACCACAUACUAAAGGGCUUAUAAAAAAAAAUUUUGUUUUCUUUUAUUUUUACUAACACAUUAAAGAACA